rnacentral:misc_RNA from 1 species
GAAAACUCAAUAUGAUCAAGAUCAAUCUCCAAUAUAUUUUACAAAACUAAUAUAAUAAGUACUUAACUGCACAUGCAGAUGGUCCAAACUAGGAGUUUUUACAUUCUAACAAUCAUUAGCGGAUAUAAUUUUCCAAUUUGGAAAAACUGCUCGUUUGCUUUUAAAUGCCAGCCGAAUUAACCAUAACAUUUAUUAUUGUUGUUAUCUAAAAGUGGAAAAUUAGACACUUUAGCAAUCCAAUUAUUUGCAUUUGGAAAC